UUCAGGUUAAAACCACAAGAGUUUCCGUCUACCAAAGUACAUAAAAUCGCAGUUCCCAAAAUCCAGACUCCCUUUCAUCCAAACGGGAAUUACUGGACGCUAUUCCUUCCGUCGUCCACAGCUAUCCACCACAAUGUCAGACCGCGACUGGCCUCGCGAUAGGGACCGAGAACGCGACCGCGACCGGGACCGUGAAAGAGAACGCCGACGCGACAGAGAAGACCGCGAGCGAGACCGAGACCGAGAUCGGACACGCAGCAAGAGAUCCCGUACACCAGAGCGCACCCGAUCACGUCACAUGCGCUCUCGAACACGUUCUCCCGACCGCAACCGAUAUCGUUCACGGUCCCGUUCUCACACGCGCUCCCCGGAACGCUCCUCCCACCGUCACCACCGGCACCGGCACCGAACCCCAUCGGCGGAGCCGCCAAGGAAACGGAACCGCCACGAAAGCGAGGAGAGGGACAAAGAGAAGGAUAGGCAAAAGGCGGUGUCGGAUUUUGUGGACGAGAUAGCGAAAGAGCAGCAGCAAAAGAAAGAAAAUAACAGUAACGAGAACGAGAACGGAGAUGGAGGAGAGGAGGAUGAGAUGGAGAUGAUGAAGAAGUUGGGGAUUCCAGUUGAUUUUGAUUCCACGAAAGGAAAACAUGUUCCUGGUGCUGAUGUCAGUGGAGUUAGGGCUGUGACUAAGCGGCAGCCCAGGCAGUAUAUGAAUCGAAGAGGCGGGUUUAACCGUCCAUUACCCGCUGAACGCAAUCGCUAGAAUUCGUUAAUUGAUUGAAAGCGUUUUCAAGGUUAGUCAUCUUCCUAGCAUUGGCGAUGGUCAUCCAUUUUGAGUGCUGGCAUGAAAAGCAAGGCAUAUAUUUAAUGAUACUUGAUGUCAGAAAGACGUCAAGCAGCAGUCGUCACUAAAGAUGUGAAAGUUUGGGAGUAAAGGAAAAAGAUCCGGGAUUCAGAAGUUCACUGCCUUACGCUUAUUUAAUCUCAAUCAUUUAAGAACUGGACAUGUUUUCCGGUAAUGAGUAUUGGUUUCUAUUUUCACGUCAAAUUUGUGUCUACUCAUCUUUAGAGAAUUGGAGGAGAACGUAAUUUAUAGAGAGGUGCUUUCUUUUGCAGAGGCCAUAUUUUAUAUGGAAAUCAUCUUCAAAAAUUCUGGUUCCCUAUACAUACAAGAAGGCAUCUUGGAAAAUUCUGGUUCCUCAAAGUCUUACCAUACUGAUGAAUAUUGUUUGCGUAUAAAAUUGUUGUAUUUUAAUGAUUAUAGUUUCUAUUUUCUGCAGAUGGCUAGUGGCCUUUUAGCCAGUUGAAUCAGGGGUGACAAUCAAAAUAAAAUCAUCUUACUAUGCAUGCCAACCGAUUUCAACUGCUGGAUUUGGAUGUGGUAUCUUUGAAUGCCCAGAACCAUUUUCCUGCAUUUGGUGUGGCUUUCUUGUUUUCUUCCACCCCUGUUUCAGCUCAGUGUUUAAGCAGGCUAUACAGAAAAGAAGACACUAAAAAGUUGAAGGCAGUAACUGGGCAAAAAACAUUUGCAGCUGGGAUCUUGAAUCAGAACAAGGAGGUUUCAUGAAUAGUGAAGGAGCAAAACAGUACUCUGCAGCCAUUCUGUUUGAGCAUAGACGCUGGAUUGAGAAAUGUUUAUCCAGAGAUGCAAGUGGCAGAGGACUGUAAUUGCAAUUUUUUACACGUGAGUGAUCAAAAUAAAAUUAUCGGUUUGUGGAAAUUGAAAAAAGUUGCUAUUUUUUAUUACUGAAGCUGGAAGUGGAACAUAUAUUGU